rnacentral:lncRNA from 1 species
CAUGAGCAGGCACACCUGCAGUGAUCUGCGCCGGCCGUCGUUCUGUCCCUGCCGUCUUGGCGCGUGGACGACCGUGGACAUAAAGAAGAAAGCCCUGUUCUUUCUGUUACAAUGAAGUGUUUUAAUUGCAACCCUGAUCUUUCUGAGCUUGAAGUGGUUGAAGCCUGAGGACAGUGGGAGAGAAGGUUCCUACAGUCCCGUGUGUUUGAAACCUUCCUGUAAGGACUGUGUUAGAAACCAUGAGAGGUUGUCUUUCAUCGAGUCACCAAUUGUGGGUCAUGAUAGCAAGGAGAAUCAACGUGUACAAAACACACUAGAUAGUUCAAACGAAACAGAAGAGCUAGAGGCCAGUAGACUGUAUGAGGACAGUGGCUACUCAUCUUUUACACAAAGUGACCGUGACGACGGCAUCCUUAUCCUGGAGAAUUUCAGAAACAGUCCCCAGGCCCGCCUGCUGCCAUCACAGAGCCUGGACCAGCAUCCCAACAAAACCUGCUGCCUGUCCUGCAUUGUCAAAGAGUGGUUUGCUCAACACUAAAAAAGAAUGGCAAGCGAAACCCUAAAGUGGAUCGAGAAAUGCUGAAGGAAGUUAUCACCAGCGGCAACUUUAGACUGCAAAGUAUAAUUGGCAAGAAAAUGGGCCUGGAACACCUAGAUCUCCUGGCUGAGCUCUCCCGGAGGGGAUUCGUGCACCUGUUGGCUAACAUUGUGAUGAAGCUCGGGGCACGGACUUAAUAAACCUGUCUAAAGUGAGCAGAAUUUGGAAGAAGAUACUGGAAAACAAUAAGGGAGCGGUCCAGCUCUACAGCAAAACCAUGCAGAGUCAUUGAAAGCAGUAAGUUGUCACUACAUGCUGCAACGAGAGGACAUGUUGUGGGCAGACCUGCACUAACUUCUGUUCAAAGUCAUCGUCGACCUGGGCACCUCCCAAAAAAAGAUGUUCAGGUCAAGUCCUCCAGUCAGCGUGGUCAGAAAGGUUCUACCUACAGCUGGCACAACAAGUUCGUGGAGGUGGCAGACAUUGAAGAACAAGGGAAGCCUCAAAGCCUGUGCUUGCUAUAAUUUCCCUGCAAAAUAUGACCACUAUUUAGAGCGAGCAGUCUGCAAACGGGAAAGCUGUCAAUUUGAAUAUUGUACAAAGUGUCUGUGUGCUUACCAUAACAACAAAGACUGUUUGAAUGGCAAGAUCCUAAAAGCCAACUGUAAAGUGGGUCCUUUGCCUGUAACUAAAAAGAACUUACUAAGAU